rnacentral:rRNA from 1 species
AAUAGAUACCCAGGUAGUCCACGCCGUAACUAUGAGAGCUAGUCGUCGGGCAGCAUGCUGUUCGGUGACGCAGCUAACGCAUUAAGCUCUCCGCCUGGGGAGUACGGCCGCAAGGUUAAAACUCAAAGGAAUUGACGUGGGCCCGCACAAGCGGUGGAGCAUGUGGCUUAAUUCGAAGCAACGCGCAGAACCUUACCAUCCCUUGACUUGGACGUCGCGGGCCGGGAGACCGGUCUUUCAGUUCGGCUGGACGUCACACAGGUGCUGCAUGGCUGUCGUCAGCUCGUGUCGUGAGAUGUUGGGUUAAGUCCCGCAACGAGCGCAACCCUCGCUACUAGUUGCCAGCAUUCAGUUGGGCACUCUAGUAGAACCGCCGGUGAUAAGCCGGAGGAAGGUGGGGAUGACGUCAAGUCCUCAUGGCCCUUACGGGAUGGGCUACACACGUGCUACAAUGGUGGUGACAAUGGGCUAAUCCCAAAAAGCCAUCUCAGUUCGGAUUGGGGUCUGCAACUCGACCCC